rnacentral:rRNA from 1 species
UUUUUUUAAGUCUGACCUGCCCACUGAAAUUUUUAAAUGGCCGCAGUAUUCUAACUGUGCAAAGGUAGCAUAAUCAUUAGUCUUUUAAUUGAAGGCUGGUAUGAACGGUUGGACGAGGUAUAAGCUGUUUCAUAUAAAUUUAUAGUAGAAUUUUAUAUUUUAGUCAAAAAGCUAAAAUAUUGUUAAAAGACGAGAAGACCCUAUAAAUCUUUAUAUUUUUUAUUAUUUAAGUUUUUUGGGUUGAUUUUAUUUUUAUAGUAAAAAAUAUUUUGUUGGGGUGAUGUUAAAAUUUAAUGAACUUUUAAUAAUUUAAAAUCAUUAAUUUAUGAUUUAUUGAUCCAUUAUUAGUGAUUAUAAGAUUAAGUUACUUUAGGGAUAACAGCGUAAUUUUUUUGGAGAGUUCAUAUCGAUAAAAAAGUUUGCGACCUCGAUGUUGGAUUAAGAUAUAAUUUUAGGUGUAGCCGCUUAAAU